rfam:Ixodes scapularis strain Wikel colony gcontig_1108379774404, whole genome shotgun sequence.
UAGCGCAGUUGGUAGAGCGCUCUACUGAAAAUGGAGAGGUCCUUGGUUCGAUACCAGG